ensembl:lncRNA
CACACACACACACACACACACACACACACACACACACACACACACACACUCACGGCCCUCCUCCUCCAGAUACAGGACACUUUUGUUCUGUGUUUUCAUCAGGAGUGCAGUGAAUCGAGAGCGAGAGGCAGUGUGACAGAAGAGAUGCUUCAGAGCUCAAGUCAAAGGUCUGUCACGGGCCGCUGGUCGACAUGUGUGGCUCUUCUGAUGCUCCUCAUUGGUCAGAUUUCCGCAGAGACGAGCAGCAGCUCAAACGCCUGUCAGGGUCAGAAUGCUCUUCAUGACCGGAUGGACGCCGUAGAGAAGCGGGUGGACGACACUCUUCAGAAGCUGGAGGCUGAGCUGGCUCUUCUGCUGGAUGCUGUCGAGGCCCCAGAGUGGAGCCCCCUGCUGGACAAACCACUCAUCGACAUACUGGACGAGCCGCCAGCAACGGAUUCAUGAGAACAUGAUGAUCAUUAGAGGUGUAUGUGUGUGCAUCUUACAGCAUGUCAAAUCAAACACAUCUGACUCAUAUUUAUCAAAUAUUAUCAUUUUGACAUUAUUUUCAUGACAAAUGAACACAGUGAAUACAGCAGUUCUCUGCCUUUUUGACUCCAACCCCCUCACCGUCCAGAGCAACAAUCACAGGCCGACCCGUGUACGUUCAAUCUCAUUCACAAGCUGUCAAGAUUUCUAUUUAACCCUUUUUUAAUUAUGAAAAAUAGGCUUGUCUAGAGAUUAAAAUUAAUAACU